GGAAGGGUGGCAGAGUUGGGCGAUUGCGGCAAUCUUGAAAAUUGCUAGGGCUCGCAAGGCCCUCGUGGGUUCGAAUCCCACCCCUUCCGCUA
rnacentral:tRNA from 1 species